rnacentral:rRNA from 1 species
CCCUCGUACGAUCGCCUUGAGUUGAUCAUGGCUCGAACGAACGCUGGCGGCGUGCCUAACACAUGCAAGUCGUGCGAGAAAAGGGGGGCAACCCCCUGAGUAAAGCGGCGCACGGGUGAGUAACACGUAGGUAAUCUACCCUCGAGUCCAGGAUAACCCGCCGAAAGGUGAGCUAAUACCGGAUAUGACCACGGGAGUUUCGGCUCCUGCGGUGAAAGGUGGCCUCUGCUUGCAAGCUACCGCUCGGAGAUGAGCCUGCGGGCCAUUAGCUAGUUGGUGAGGUAACGGCUCACCAAGGCGAUGAUGGCUAGCUGGUCUGAGAGGAUGGCCAGCCACACUGGGACUGAAACACGGCCCAGACUCCUACGGGAGGCAGCAGUGGGGGAUAUUGCGCAAUGGGCGAAAGCCUGACGCAGCGACGCCGCGUGGGUGAUGAAGGCCUUCGGGUCGUAAAGCCCUGUCGAGGGGAACGAAACGGUCUCGACCCAAUACGUCGAGGCCCUGACGGUACCCCUAAAGGAAGCACCGGCUAACUCCGUGCCAGCAGCCGCGGUAAUACGGAGGGUGCAAGCGUUGUUCGGAAUCACUGGGCGUAAAGGGCGUGUAGGCGGUCCGCUAAGUCUGAUGUGAAAGCCCGGGGCUCACCCCCGGAAGGGCAUUGGAAACUGGCGGACUCGAGUCCCGGAGAGGAAGGUGGAAUUCCUGGUGUAGCGGUGAAAUGCGUAGAUAUCAGGAGGAAUACCGGUGGCGA